ACGGGAGGCAGCAGUGGGGAAUAUUGGACAAUGGGGGGAACCCUGAUCCAGCGACGCCGCGUGAGUGAAGAAGUAUUUCGGUAUGUAAAGCUCUUUAAGCAGGAAAGAAAAUGACGGUACCUGCAGAAUAAGCCCCGGCUAACUACGUGCCAGCAGCCGCGGUAAUACGUAGGGGGCAAGCGUUAUCCGGAUUUACUGGGUGUAAAGGGAGCGUAGACGGAAUAGCAAGUUUGAAGUGAAAACCCUGGGCUUAACCCAGGACUUGCUUUGAAAACUGUUGUUCUAGAGUACUGGAGGGGUAUGGGGAAUUCCUAGUGUAGUAGUAAAAUGCGUAGAGAUUAGGAAGAACACCGGAGGCGAAGGCGCCAUACUGGACAGAUACUGACGUUGAGGCUCGAAAGCGUGGGGAGCAAACAGGAUUAGAUACCCUGGUA
rnacentral:rRNA from 1 species